rnacentral:lncRNA from 1 species
CGUAAUUUAUAAGAUUUCUCCUUCGAAACUAAAUUUUAAAAAAAUACGUUAUUCAACCCGUGCGAAGCACGGGUUUGUAACUAGUUAAGAAGGGAAAAGAUGGGCUUGCGUGUGGUUUCUAACUUUGUUAUUUAUCCAUAUGUUGAAAUUCGUGAUAAAUUCUAGAUCAAUCGAGCAUCAUCAUCAAAUUAUAUUCUUGUUGAAUUAUUGCCUUUGGCUAACAUGAACUGCUCUAACUUUUUAGAUUAUAACAGUUCUAUGACCAACUAAAGACGAACAGCUUUUUAACUAUUACAAACCAUAUGUUUGGUUACGCGUUUCAGCUCCUCAAAGUGCAUUUUUGUCUGCAAACGUGAUUCUUAUCUGUUGCAAAUAUGUUUGGUUUUUUCUUGAAGAAUCGAUUCUGCCUUCCAAACUCGAUUCUACCAAAAGCUAGGAAUCUUAACUUUUGCAAAUCGAUUCUCAAUUUGUUGUUGGGUUACAAUUUCAGAAUUCAUUUUAUUCCGUUUUUACCCUUAACAACUAUCAUCAAUAACUCUUACUGGGGCUCAAUAAUAUGUGCCAAAUCACCGAGAUGUACCCUUGCAAUUGUUGCAUGUUUCCUUUCCUUUCUCCACUAUAGAAACAUCAUCAAGAUGAAAUUUAUUUGAUGAACGAAAGUGAACAUGAAGUAUGAGAGAUGGAUAAAGAGAAUUGAAGAAGAAAAUUGAGAAAUAAGAGAAGGAGGAAGGAAGGGUGAAGAGUUUUUAGAUUGCAGAAGGAGAUAUAGUAAACCCAAUUGAAGGUUCUGGAGAAACCGAGAAUGAAUAGCAACAUGAUUAUUUAUUUUAUUUUUUAAUUAAAAUGGUUACUAAAGUUGGGUGGAAACUGUUUUACCUUCUAACAUAAUAGUGAGUGGGGU